GACGCGGGCUCUGCCCGUUGC
rnacentral:siRNA from 1 species